GACGAACGCUGGCGGCGUGCUUAACACAUGCAAGUCGAACGGAGUGGCGAACGGGUGAGUAUUACGUGAGUAACCUGCCCUCAACUGUGGGAUAAGCCUCGGAAACUGGGUCUAUUACUGCCUAGUUGGGGAUGGGCUCGCGGCCUAUCAGCUUGUUGGUGGGGUGAUGGCCUACCAAGGCGGUGCCGGGUAGCCGGCCUGCGAGGGUGGUCGGCCACAUGGGGACGGAGAUACGGCCCAGAGUGCGACGGGAGGGAGCAGUGGGGGAUAUUGCACAAUGGUGGUAAGCCUGAUGCAGCGACGCCACGUGGGGGAUGAAGGCUUUAGGGUUGUAAACCUCAGUCGGUACAGAACGGGUAUGUGCAGAAGAAGCGCCGGCUAACUACGUGCCAGCAGCCGCGGUAAUAC
rnacentral:rRNA from 1 species